rnacentral:rRNA from 1 species
GUCCACGCUGUAAACGAUGGAUGCUAGACGUAGUGGGACUUGACCCCUACUGUGUCGAAGUUAACACGAUAAGCAUCCCGCCUGGGAAGUACGGUCGCAAGACUAAAACUCAAAGGAAUUGACGGGGGCCCGCACAAGCGGUGGAUCAUGUGGUUUAAUUCGAAGCAACGCGAAGAACCUUACCUGGGUUUGACAUCCCUUUGAAUAUACCUAGAGAUAGGAAUAGACUCGCAAGAGACAGAGGAGACAGGUGCUGCAUGGCUGUCGU